rnacentral:rRNA from 1 species
UUCGCCCUUAGAGUUUGAUCCUGGCGCAGGAUGAACGCUGGCGGCGUGCUUAACACGUGCAAGUCGAACGAGGAUAUUGGCUUGGGCUGAUAUUCGAGUGGCGGACGGGUGAGUAACGCGUGAGCAAUCUGGCCUGCAGAGGGGGAUACCAACUGGAAACAGUUGCUGAUACCGCAUAUGACCACGGCCUCGCAUGGGGCUGGGGUGAAAGCAGCAAUGCGAUGCAGGGUGAGCUCGCGUCCGAUUAGGCAGUUGGUGAGGUAACGGCCCACCAAACCGACGAUCGGUAGCCGACCUGAGAGGGUGAUCGGCCACAUUGGGACUGAGACACGGCCCAGACUCCUACGGGAGGCAGCAGUGGGGAAUAUUGGGCAAUGGGCGGAAGCCUGACCCAGCAACGCCGCGUGAGGGAAGAAGGUUUUCGGAUUGUAAACCUCUGUCCUUGGUGACGAAGGAAGUGACGGUAGCCAAGGAGGAAGCCCCGGCUAACUACGUGCCAGCAGCCGCGGUAAUACGUAGGGGGCGAGCGUUGUCCGGAAUGACUGGGCGUAAAGGGCGUGUAGGCGGCGCUGUAAGUCCGGAGUGAAAGUCCUGCUUUCAAGGUGGGAAUUGCUUUGGAGACUGCAGAGCUUGAGUACGGAAGAGGUAAGUGGAAUUCCCGGUGUAGCGGUGAAAUGCGUAGAGAUCGGGAGGAACACCAGUGGCGAAGGCGACUUACUGGGCCGUAACUGACGCUGAGGCGCGAAAGCGUGGGGAGCGAACAGGAUUAGAUACCCUGGUAGUCCACGCGGUAAACGAUGAAUGCUAGGUGUAGGGGGUAUCGACCCCUCCUGCGCCGGAGUCAACACAAUAAGCAUUCCGCCUGGGGAGUACGGCCGCAAGGUUGAAACUCAAAGGAAUUGACGGGGGCCCGCACAAGCAGCGGAGCAUGUGGUUUAAUUCGACGCAACGCGAAGAACCUUACCAGGUCUUGACAUUGAUGCAAACUUGUAGAGAUACAAGGUGACUUCGGUCAGCAGAAAACAGGUGGUGCAUGGUUGUCGUCAGCUCGUGUCGUGAGAUGUUGGGUUAAGUCCCGCAACGAGCGCAACCCCUGUCCUUAGUAGCCAGCAGUUUGGCUGGGCACUCUGGGGAGACUGCCGGAGAUAAUCCGGAGGAAGGUGGGGAUGACGUCAAAUCAUCAUGCCCCUUAUGAUUUGGGCUACACACGUGCUACAAUGGCGUUUAACAAAGAGAGGCAAUACUGCGAAGUGGAGCAAAUCUCAAAAACAACGUCCCAGUUCGGAUUGUAGUCUGCAACUCGACUAUAUGAAGCUGGAAUCGCUAGUAAUCGCGAAUCAGAAUGUCGCGGUGAAUACGUUCCCGGGUCUUGUACACACCGCCGGUCA